GUGUCCACUGUAUAUGUACAUGUAUAUGUAUAUGUAUAUGUAUAUGUAUAUAUGUAUAUAUACAGUGUGUGUGU